rnacentral:rRNA from 1 species
AACGAACGCUGGCGGCAGGCCUAACACAUGCAAGUCGAACGAACCCUUCGGGGUGAGUGGCGCACGGGUGCGUAACACGUGGGAAUCUACACUUUGGUAAGGAAUAACACAGAGAAAUUUGUGCUAAUACCUUAUAAUGACUCCGGUCCAAAGAUUUAUCGCCAAAGGAUGAGCCCGCGCUAGAUUAGUUUGUUGGUGAGGUAAAAGCUCACCAAGACUACGAUCUAUAGCUGGUCUUAGAGGAUGAUCAGCCACACUGGAACUGAGACACGGUCCAGACUCCUACGGGAGGCAGCAGUGAGGAAUAUUGCGCAAUGGAGGAAACUCUGACGCAGCCAUGCCGCGUGAAUGAAGAAGGCCUUAGGGUUGUAAAAUUCUUUCAGAUGCGAAGAUAAUGACGGUAACAUCAGAAGAAGCUCCGGCUAAAUUCGUG